rnacentral:rRNA from 1 species
UACGUAGGGGGCUAGCGUUAUCCGGAAUUACUGGGCGUAAAGGGUGCGUAGGUGGUUUCUUAAGUCAGAGGUGAAAGGCUACGGCUCAACCGUAGUAAGCCUUUGAAACUGGGAAACUUGAGUGCAGGAGAGGAGAGUGGAAUUCCUAGUGUAGCGGUGAAAUGCGUAGAUAUUAGGAGGAACACCAGUUGCGAAGGCGGCUCUCUGGACUGUAAAUGACGCUGAGGCUCGAAAGCGUGGGGAGCAAACAGG